rnacentral:rRNA from 1 species
GACGAACGCUGGCGGCGUGCUUAACACAUGCAAGUCGAGCGGAAAGGCCCUGCUUUUGUGGGGUGCUCGAGUGGCGAACGGGUGAGUAACACGUGAGUAACCUGCCCUUGACUUUGGGAUAACUUCAGGAAACUGGGGCUAAUACCGGAUAGGAGCUCCUGCUGCAUGGUGGGGGUUGGAAAGUUUCGGCGGUUGGGGAUGGACUCGCGGCUUAUCAGCUUGCUGGUGGGGUAGUGGCUUACCAAGGCUUUGACGGGUAGCCGGCCUGAGAGGGUGACCGGCCACAUUGGGACUGAGAUACGGCCCAGACUGCUACGGGAGGCAGAAGUGGGGAAUAUUGCACAAUGGACGGAAGCCUGAUGCAGCAACGCCGCGUGCGGGAUGACGGCCUUCGGGUUGUAAACCGCUUUCGCCUGUGACGAAGCGUGAGUGACGGUAAUGGAUAAAGAAGCACCGGCUUACUACGUG